rnacentral:ncRNA from 2 species
GCGUUCAUAGCGACGUUGCUU